rnacentral:rRNA from 1 species
GAGUUUGAUCNUGGCUCAGAACGAACGCUGGCGGCAUGCCUAACACAUGCAAGUCGAACGAGAAAAGUUCCUUCGGGAACCUAGUAUAGUGGCGCACGGGUGAGUAAUACGUAGGUGACCUACCUAUCGCUGGGGAACAACCCCGGGAAACCGGAGCUAAUUCCGCGUACGCUCUUCAGUCUGCGGACUGAAGAGGAAAGAUGGCCUCUCCUUGGAAGCUAUCGGCGAUAGAUGGGCCUGCGCAUCAUUAGCUUGUUGGUGAGGUAACGGCUCACCAAGGCUCCGAUGAUUAGCUGAUCUGAGAGGAUGAUCAGCCACACUGGAACUGGAACACGGUCCAGACUCCUACGGGAGGCAGCAGUGGGGAAUAUUGCGCAAUGGGCGAAAGCCUGACGCAGCAAUGCCGCGUGAGUGACGAAGGCCUUCGGGUCGUAAAGCUCUGUCGAGAGAGACGAAACCCUGGUGAGAACAAUACCUCACCAGUUUGACGGUAUCUCCAAAGGAAGCACCGGCUAACUCCGUGCCAGCAGCCGCGGUAAUACGGAGGGUGCAAGCGUUGUUCGGAAUUACUGGGCGUAAAGGGCGUGUAGGCGGACCAAGUAGUCGGGUGUGAAAGCCCUGGGCUCAACCCAGGAAGUGCGCCCGAAACCAUUGGUCUUGAGAUUCGGAGGGGAGCGGGGAGUUCCCAGUGUAGAGGUGAAAUUCGUAGAUAUUGGGAGGAACACCGGUGCCGAAGGGGCCGCUNCGGACGAAUACUGACGCUGAGACGCGAAAGCGUGGGUAGCAAACAGGAUUAGAUACCCUGGUAGUC